GAAGGUAAAGGGGAAGAGAAUGGAGAAGAAAAAAGACAAGGAAAAAGAAAAAGAAAAAAAGAAAAAAAAAAGAAAAAAUAAAAAAAGAAAAAGAAAAAGAUAAAGAAAAAGAAAAAGAGGGAAAAAAAAGGAGUUAAGUUUUUAUCAGAUCUGAAUUUUUUUCACUGUCCCUGGCAAGUGGCGGGGCUGAAGUGCUCCCACCACGUUGAAGGACUUGCCUUUCUCAACUGUCUUUUUCUAGCAGAGUGCCAUAGGGUGGUUCUUAAAAAAAACCCAAAUAUUUAAAAUACUGAGUAAGAUAGCUCUUACUUAAACAAGAAAAAAAUGUUUAUUUAGAGCAACAGAGAAAAAAGAUCUACUAAACUAGGGAAAAAAAUCAUAUUGUUUCUUCUAUACAGGCAAAAUGGGACAGAUAAAUUCAAAGUUCAGAACAGGAUUGCAGGUAAUAUUUCCCCACUUAUUGUGCAUAAGGAAAAGUUCAGAAAACCAAGCAGUUAUGUGGAGGGGGAAGAAAGAAGCUGUCAAUUGUGAUUUUUAAGCAAAGAAAAGUCAUAGCACUGCAAAGAAUCAAAGGAAACAGAAUCAAAAGUGAUCAAUCAGGGAGCUGCUGAUUGAAGGGACAACAAAAAAGUUAUUUGGUCUGGUGUCUUGCUGAGGAAGGACAUGCUGGAGACAGAAGUCAUUACCAGGUGAGGAGAGUGAGGUAAGCAUAAUUUUAUUUUAUUCAAAGCAGGGAUGAAAAGAAGAGCAUCUGAAGAAGAAGGGAGAAGACAGGACUAUAAAUGAUCAAAGCAGACAUAACAUAUACUAUGUAAGAGACAAGCAUGGAAGCUUCAUAAGCUGAUCUUAGAAAACCAUAAGUUAUGGCAGAAGCGCUAGUUGUAAGCCUCUGAACUGGGGAAAGUGGGGUUCCAUACAUGUUACUAAUAAACCCAUAAUCAUAUAUUGAAACAUGUAGCAGCCAUGUGGGUGUCUGCACAAGCUGAGAGUUAAAUCUUCUUCUCCCUUUUACUUCAUCUGAAAACUUGCUGUAUGGAUGGUUCUGCGGGGUUUUUUUUCUCAUUUAGGGAUAUUUUGCGGGAGACAUUUUUAUAAUCUGUUCUCAGGAUGGCAAAGUUUGGACUCCCCCUGAUCUUUCUGAUGGACACUUUUAAAACAGAGGUGAGAAAUGAUCCUCAGUCAGGAUCUUCUCUGCUCCAGGUGCCAGCUUUUUAUAGCUUUUGAUGGAUCGCACAGGUGGUGGAGAGGCCAGCUCUUGUUGUGCAGUCCUAGACUAUGACAAUGUUUAUGAGGUUAGUCCCCUGAUGGAGAUAUAGUAAGCUAUGAAGCCACACUGUACUGAUGAACCACCCCACCACUGGUUCUUGGAGAAAUUUAUGUAUUCUGUUCUUGGUGCUGCUGUCUUAGAAAAGUAAGUGAACAGUGUAUGCAUCUGGGACAACAUUCAGUAUACUAAAUGCACAUUUCUACAGGAGCAAAAUCAUAGUAGAAUAGCUAGCAUCAGAUGUGAUAGCACAAGUCAGAACUAUCCUCACAUAGAAUUCAAUUGUGGUCAAGAUCUGGUAAACAUUUUACUUUUCAACUGCAUACUUUGCACGCUAUUUGUAUGACAUCUCCUUUUCUCUCAUUCCCUUGUUGGCUGACUUUGUGCCCUUUUGGCUGGUCCCCCCCCCCCUUUUUUUUUCUUCUUAAGCCUAGUAGUGAUUCACUGGAAAAAAAUUCAUUUAGCCAGUGAGCAGGAAUUUCUGACCUAUUUACAAGUGAGCUUUGCCAUACUUUUCAUAGGUCAAAGUCAAGCCAAAGUACUCCCCAUACUGCCAGUUAAAGCCCUGUCAAGUUCUCAGUGACUUCUGAUGUUUCCCCUCCAGUCCAUCCGUGCUUACCUGGCCUGCUGUGUCCUAGGUGCUAUUCACUGCUAAUACAGAAUACUUUCCCAUAAAAGAAUCUAUAUUCUUGGGGAUGGGCCGUGUGUCUUCCGAAAGGUCUCUAGAAGACCUGGAGAAAUAAUGAGAAAUAAUGUUAUUGGAGAUUCUACUCUGCUCUCCGGGAUAACACGGAGCUAGCUCUUGAUGCUUGAGCUGUUGCUGGCUCUGCUGCGUAGCCUCCGCGUUUCCGAGAGGAUCACCCGCGUGUCUGUGAGCAGAACAACCUCAUGUUGUACUGGCAUUCACCACAGGAUGGCAGUGCAAGAUUUUAAUUGUCAGUGUUUCGAUUGUCUGUGUAUGUGCCUUGUGCGUGUGACAGCAUAGUUAGACAGAAAAUUAAAACCAGUACUGUUUUUUCCAUUUUGAAAACAAAGAUAUACUGGUUUCCUUUGAAAUAGAGUGGAUUGUGAAAACACAGAACCAAUAAGAAAACAAUGCUGCUGCUGCACGUGAGGUGCUGCCAUAUUUCAGAAAUGUACUUCAGCUUUCUUUGUAUGCUGACUCUGCAUUUAAUUAAUUCACACCUCCUCCCGCAGUGCAAAACCUGUAUUGCAAAGGUUGUUUACAUGAUGUACUCUGAGUGGCUUUUGAAUUUACAGAGCUUUAGUCCUGACAUUGCAUCUUUGGCAUACUCCCUGCCGGUGUGGUCUCAGAGCACGUCCUGCCUACAGAGCUGCAAAUGAUGUUUAGAAGAAGAUUGGACCAAUGAAUCAAUGGGGUGGAGGAAAACCAAGCUAUUAGGAGAUUAACACCAGGGGAAACCUUUGAGCAAGAUGGCUGCUGUGAUGGAACUGGGUGACUGCCUGAGUGACCAGUCUGCUGGCGGAUAUGGGAAGAAUCUCCCAUCUUCUCUUCUGAGGGCUCCACUUAAUAUUAGUAAUUAAAUACUUAUUUGAGAAGGUC